GCGACAGAUGCGGUGAAGGGGGGCCA
rnacentral:sRNA from 1 species